AGGGGCCCCUCCAUCACAUGAACAGUGGUUUUACCGCAGGGUCAUGACACAUGAAGAAAUUGAAGUCAGCCAGCUGAUGUGGAGAUCUCUCUCUCUCUCUGACAGAGUAAUAAGCACAACUAAGGAUAAGGUGCAGACUGCCAGCAAAAUAUUAAUUUCCUCCUUGGGUUGAUUAAUAUCCCUUGUUUUAAUUCGGUUAUUGGCGUAGCUGAGAGACAGCGUGGGGAGCUACAGUCUCACAUGGCCGCAGAGGAUACCUCCCUUUCUGAAGGGAGUGACCUUAGCUGCUGGAACUUGACCCAGCCUUGGUCCAGAUGUGCAACUGCUCAAAACAGCACACUCCUGGUUGGCAAAAGCAUCGAUUAGCAUGUAACACAUGCCCACAGGAGCUAAGCGUCCAAGACUCUGUGGCUUUUGUUCCCGGGUGGAAAAGCUCAAGCCAACGUCUGUGGUUCUCCCUCCAACAGCACCAGUGUGUGCAGGCUGGGAUAUCCGGUGUCUGCACUCAUGAGAAUUUGUCAUUUUUAUGGCUCUGCGGUGAGCUUAUGUUGAGCAACGCUCUGACUCCAGCUGCUUUUCCACCUGCACAGAUCUCGGUGACAAUGCUCAAGAAAUAAAUCGGAAAAGGAAUUGGAAAAUUACUGUUUGAGGGCAAAAUUCCAGGCUAUUCUACUAAAGGCUUAUUAAAC
rnacentral:lncRNA from 1 species